AUUGAACGCUGGCGGCAGGCCUAACACAUGCAAGUCGAGCGGAUGAAGGGAGCUUGCUCCUGGAUUCAGCGGCGGACGGGUGAGUAAUGCCUAGGAAUCUGCCUGGUAGUGGGGGAUAUCGUCCGGAAACGGGCGCUAAUACCGCAUACGUCCUGAGGGAGAAAGUGGGGGAUCUUCGGACCUCACGCUAUCAGGUGAGCCUAGGUCGGAUUAGCUAGUUGGUGGGGUAAAGGCCUACCAAGGCGACGAUCCGUAACUGGUCUGAGAGGAUGAUCAGUCACACUGGAACUGAGACACGGUCCAGACUCCUACGGGAGGCAGCAGUGGGGAAUAUUGGACAAUGGGCGAAAGCCUGAUCCAGCCAGGCCGAGUGUGUGAAGAAGGUCUUCGGAUUGUAAAGCACUUUAAGUUGGGAGGAAGGGCAGUAAGUUAAUACCUUGCUGUUUUGACGUUACCAACAGAAUAAGCACCGGCUAACUUCGUG
rnacentral:rRNA from 1 species